GUCCAGUGAUGAGACCAAGGCGAAUACGAGUUAACUGAAUGAGAGCUGGGUUCCUCGUUGUCUUGACUGGCAGGUAAUCUUGGCAGUGCAGAGGAGCGUUCCUGCUCUGCUGUAAGGGCCUGCCUACAGUGACCUGGCUUAACCCAAAUUAUUCCUUUUUAAAGUUACAGUGGAAUAAUCACAGGGAUGAUGCCUACAGUGUGUGUGUGUGUGUGUGCGAGUGGUUGGUUGUGUGAAUGUGUACAAGUCAAAGAGUUCACCCAGCUCUCUUUGACGUUCAGUCAGCAGUGAGUUGCUCUUUGGUAAUCUGAGGGCC
ensembl:snoRNA